rnacentral:rRNA from 1 species
UACGUAGGGUGCAAGCGUUGUCCGGAAUUAUUGGGCGUAAAGAGCUCGUAGGCGGUCUGUCACGUCGGCUGUGAAAACCCGAGGCUCAACCUCGGGCCUGCAGUCGAUACGGGCAAACUAGAGUACUGCAGGGGAGACUGGAAUUCCUGGUGUAGCGGUGAAAUGCGCAGAUAUCAGGAGGAACACCGGGUGGCGAAGGCGGGGUCUCUGGGCCGAUACUGACGCUGGAGGAGC